CAAAUAAUCACUCUGCAUGAAACCUUAUUGCACAUGGAAUAGAAAUUGAAUACAGUUGGUGGUGGGAAUUUAAUGGGGUACAACAGGGUACAAACUGCUGUUUAGUCCGUUUGUCCUCGUGACAAUGUUCCUGUUUUCAUUCGUUUUCGUUAAUAAUUGAACUUAUUGUUUAACUUUUUUACUAUAUGCUAGACCGUAGGGACCGUUAACGGAGGCACGACGCGUCCGGGCUGGAGCACUGGGUCCGGAGAGAGAGAGAGAGAAAGCGAGAGAGAGAGAGAAAAAAGAGAGAGAAAGAGAGACAGAGAGAGAGAGAGAGAGAAAGAGAGGGGGGAAGAGAGAGAGGGAGAGAGAGAGAGAGAGAGAGAGAGAGAGAGAGAGAGGGGGCAAGAGAACGAACGAAAGACUCCCUCUCUGCGCGCUCCUCUCUAGUCCCGCCCACGGCGCGUUACCGUGUGCGCGUGCGCGGGCGGGCGCGCGCUACACCGACAUGCCGUCCGGAGUUUGAUCCGCGCCGCGCCGCGCCGGGGUCACCAUGUCCCAGAAACGGGACUCGAACCCGCAGCCGGACGGGUACCGCGCCCUGAACACGACCGAGCUGCGCGAACUGCUGCAGGACGAGCGGAAAAUGGAGCAGAUCGUCCUGCUGAGUGACAAGUUUCAGGAGCUCCAGGUGGACCGGGACGUUCUGCUGGCCGCCAAUCGCAGCGUGGCGGAGGAGAGCCUCUCGUGCAGGCCCCGCCUCCAGAACGGGAAGCUCCAGCUGGCGGCGCGGGUACGAGGAGCUGGCGAAGCUGAGCGCCGCCUGCGGGGAGAAGCAGCGCCGCCUGGGUGAGUUACAGUGUGUGUGUGGUGUGUGUAUGGUGGGUGGUGUGUGUGUUUUUUCCACGGCGUGGCGGCGCAGGCCUCACUCGCUCCGCCACUUCCUCCUCGUUUCCUGGCGCGGAUGUGACGGAGAACGUCGCUCCUUGACCGGUUCUGCUCAGGCCUGUCCCACCCC
ensembl:lncRNA